rnacentral:misc_RNA from 1 species
AAGAAAAGUGUUAUGGUCCUCAGAUUUAUACUCACUAAAGUACAAGAUAACCAAAAGAUACAUUUGUGAUCUUGUAAAUAAGCAUGUGCCUGAACUUUAAGCAUUAGAAAAUGAGGAUCACUCUACAAACCAAAAUCCAUGCUUGGGAAAACCAGAUUGAUUUCUGAAACACGCUAUCUUAAAAUCACAGGCUAAAAUUGAAGACACAGAAUGGAACUGGAGAUAGAAAUGGGAAGACAGAUAAUAAAUGAGGGAACUUCAAUACCUAGAGGCUCUUAAUGCCUUCUGCACUGCAAAAUUCCCAUAAACAUGGAGUAACAAAAAGUAUCAGUAGCCAAUUAAACCCUUAAUUACACAAGGCACAGAACACAUAAUAUUGAAGCCAUGAAAUCUUGAGAUUAUUGAAUGUAAGGAUGGAAACUCUGGGAUGGGUGUGACCAAGGGUGUAAAUGGGUGCUGAAAGCUUGUUGCCUUUGUCUGGGAUCGAAACCCAUCAGCUUAGUCUCAGAUUGAAACCUUGUCACUGGCGUGUAGGAAUCUGAGACACGGCGCACUCGAGGGUCAAAACUUGCCUUGUCAUUUGUUUUGUAAGCAUCUCCUGAAACUCUUACAGCCUUAUGACUGUUACACCCCAACAAAAUGCUGGAGCGGCGCCCUGGGGUGUCUUUGCUGGUCUCAGAUUUUGCAUUUACAGUUGUAGGAAUGGUUUUGAUUGGACUUGGCAGUGUUGUAGGUGGCCUUAGCUCUUCAUAAUCGGACAUUACAGAGAAAUCAGCAGCACUGGCAGUGACCACACUCCACUCUAUGCUAGCCUCGCUUGGUGCAUAGCAAGUUGUUGGGGUGAGACAGCCAGAGGUGGCAUUUGACCCUUGUCUUGCAAGAAAUGGGGUGAAUUUGCCAGUGUGACUCUCAAUCUCGAAUAAGUCUGAACUUGCAUCACUCUCAUUAUCAUUGUAAACUGCACCUGAUGUAGCGGAAUAAUCGAUUUCCUCCAUUCUUGGAGCUGCUUCCCAAGAAAACAUGGAUAGCCUCCUCCCAAUUCUGAAGGACUUGCUUCUCUUGUCAUGUACUGGGGAGCCAUAGACCUCUAGUGAUUUCCGUGGAUUUACUUCUUCCUCCUGUCGAAGUUGCAAUUUUUUGGGAACACUUCCUGCUUCAGAAUUUGAAGUUGGGAAACUAAAACAGUUUUCCUUGUUCAUUCCAAUUCCCCACUUCUCCAAAUUCUGGCAAUUGAUAUUCUCCUCCUUGACCCGUGAUCCUGAUCGUGGUUUAUGAUCCAGAUCAAGACUAGACUUUGAGAGUUCUUCUGUAAUUGUCUUCCCUUCAAGCAUAGCAGCAUUAGGACUUUUCUUGAAACUGAUCUCACCGAUGUGUUCAUCAUCGCCAUCAAUAGAAUCCUUGUGAAAACAAGAACAUUUGCAGCCAAGACCAGCAAGAAAAUUCUUUCCAACCUUUCUAUGCACCUUGUCUUUCUUUGUUUCUGAAGUGUUUCUCUGAACGCAUUGCAGCAACGCACUCUGGCUGUUCCAACUGGAUUCAGAACGAACACUUGGAGUUGCAGGAUGACCUUUGGGUUUUACAGGAACCAUAUGAUCAUUUAAUUGCUCAUCUUUCUUAGGCUGCAGAUUGUACUUUCUUGGGAUUAUACUGGAAAUUCUUGGACUGUCCUCAUCUAUGCAUCCAUUGAAGUAUUUUUCAGCACCAAAUAUACCAAUUUCUCCAUCUUCUUUCUUUUUUCCCAAGUAAUGAUGCUCCUUUACAUCCUGAGCACCAAUGUUUCGAUUCGAUUCUGCAAGUUUCCGAACGAAGGUUUCAUCCGAGUUGCUCAACAAGGAAGAGAAGGAAAAAUCAAGGAGGUUUUUACUGCUGUUUUCCAAGGGCAAUGCUUGUGUAAGGCUAGCGACUGAUGUUAAGGUGGCCAUAGCCAUGACGUCUUGCAAGUAAAUUUUGCAGCACACAAUACAAACGAAAAAAAGAAGAGAAAGAAGAAAGAAAAUGACGGUAGAAAGUAA